rnacentral:rRNA from 1 species
GGUAUGGGAUGAGCUUGCGUCCGAUUAGCUAGUUGGCGGGGCAACGGCCCACCAAGGCGACGAUCGGUAGCCGGCCUGAGAGGGCGAUCGGCCACAUUGGGACUGAGAUACGGCCCAGACUCCUACGGGAGGCAGCAGUAGGGAAUAUUGCACAAUGGGGGAAACCCUGAUGCAGCAACGCCACGUGUGGGAAGAAGCAUUUCGGUGUGUAAACCACUGUCGUGAGGGGAUAAGGCAUUGUUUCGGCGAUGUUGAAUGUACCUCGAAAGGAAGCACCGGCAAACUUCGUGCCAGCAGCCGCGGUAAUACGAGGGGUGCAAGCGUUGUUCGGAAUCACUGGGCGUAAAGGGAGCGUAGGCGGAGAUGCAAGCAGUCUGUACAAUACCGGGGCCCAACCCCGGACCUGCAGACUGGACUGUGUCUCUUGGAUAGUUCAGGGGCAGGC